rnacentral:tRNA from 1 species
GAUGUAUCGACAACAAUGAUAUCAGCUGUUACAUAUAUUGAAUAUAUAUAUAUAUAUAUAUAUAUACACA